rnacentral:rRNA from 1 species
GAUGAACGCUGGCGGCGUGCCUAAUACAUGCAAGUCGAGCGAACGGACGAGAAGCUUGCUUCUCUGAUGUUAGCCGCGGACGGGUGAGUAACACGUGGAUAACCUCCCUAUAAGACUGGGAUAACUUCGGGAAACCGGAGCUAAUACCGGAUAAUAUUUUGAACCGCAUGGUUCAAAAGUGAAAGACGGCCUUUCUGUCACUAAUAGCUGGAUACGCGCUGCAUGAGCUAGUUGGUAAGGUCACGGCCUACCAAGGCAACGAUGCAUAGCCGACCUGAGAGGGUGAUCGGCCACACGGGAGCGGGAACGCGGACCAGGCUCCUACGGGAGGCAGCAGUAGCGAAUGUGCCGCAAUGGGCGAAAGCCUGACGGAGCAGCGCGGCGCGAGUGAUGAAGGUCUUCGGAUCGUAAAGCUCUGUUAUUAGGGAAGAACAUAUGUGUAAGUAACUGUGCACAUCGUGACGGUACCUGAUCAGAAAGCCACGGCUAACUACGUG